CAGUCGCCGCGGUAAUACGAAGGGUGCAAGCGUUACUCGGAAUUACUGGGCGCAAAGCGUGCGUAGGUGGUGGUUUAAGUCCGUUGUAAAAGCCCUGGGCUCAACCUGGGAAUUGCAGUGGAUACUGGGUCACUAGAGUGUGGUAGAGGAUAGUGGAAUUUCCGGUGUAGCAGUGAAAUGCGUAGAGAUCGGAAGGAACAUCUGUGGCGAAAGCGACUAUCUGGGCCAACACUGACACUGAGGCACGAAAGCGUGGGGAGCAAACAGGAUUAGAUACCCCAGUAGUCCCUGUCUCUUAUAC
rnacentral:rRNA from 1 species